UGAUGAUGAUGACGAUGAUGAUGAUAAUGAUGAUGGUUGAUGGUGGUGAUUAUGAUGACCUUCUCUACUAUUAUCAUCAUCGUUAUAAUGACGAACA
rnacentral:miRNA from 1 species